GGGGGCGAUCUGGAAUCGACCGGAUAAGUUGAAGAUAUUGGUGGCAUGUCGUGGUUGAUCGAGAGGCCACGUUAAUACUCGAUUACUAAAUUUAACUGCUGAGGAAAACCUCGCACUGGCUGCCUAAUUACGGCAACCCGGAUACCCAAUGCCCGUCGGAGGCGUUGGAGUGUCCGUCGCAAUUCCGAAUCGCACUAGCCCGUGUCUCGCACGGUUGGUGUUAAAAAAGCUCGAGGCUGGCGCAUCGCACCGAGGUUGACAACGAACGCGAUGGGCGAGACCAAUAACUGUCAGCUAAGCAUGUAGAGGCCGUAUCGGAAGUAUCGCGGGACGCGGGUUCAAUUCCCGCCGCCUCCAUAG
rfam:Pirellula sp. SH-Sr6A, complete genome.